rnacentral:rRNA from 1 species
UACAGAGACGGCGAGCGUUGUUCGGAUUCAUUGGGCGUAAAGGGUUCGCAGGCGGUGGAGUAAGUCUGAUGUGAAAUCCCGCGGCUUAACCGCGGAACUGCAUCGGAAACUACUUUGCUAGAGGAUGGUAGAGGAGACUGGAAUUCUCGGUGUAGCGGUGAAAUGCGUAGAUAUCGAGAGGAACACCGGUGGCGAAGGCGAGUCUCUGGGCCAUUCCUGACGCUCAGGAACGAAAGCGUGGGGAG